AGAUAUACAGUAAGCUGCUCUGUGGCUCAGAUAUAAAGUAAGGUGCUCUGUUGGCUCAGAUAUACAGUAAGCUGCUCUGUGGCUCAGAUAUACAGUAAGCUGCUCUGUGGCUCAGAUAUACAGUAAGCUGCUCUGUGGCUCAGAUAUAGGCUGUAUCCCACAUGGCACCCUGUGCCCUAUGGGUCCUGGUGGAAAGUGUGAACUAUAUAGGGAAUAGGGUGCCAUCUGGCACUCACCCAUACAGUAGGCUGCUCUGGCUUCGAUGGGUGAACAAAGCUCAUUGUUUCAGAGGAGGAUUGAUGGGUGACACUGCCUCCAACACCAAGGGGAGAUUAGGGGUCUGUCCUUACAUCCUGGUAUUCAACACCCGGGUCGGCCCGCUGCAAAACAACAUCAAACGCCAUCCUAUUCCUUAUAUAGUGUUCUACUGUUGAAGAGGGCCGAUGGGGCACUUCCAUAGGGACUGGGGUUCCAUUUGGGAUGCAGGACACAUGUCCAGGUGCCCCACUGCAGCCAGGCUCCUCAGUCUUCAGCUCCCCAGGCCCCAGGCUCCUCAGUCUUCAGCUCCCCAGGCUCCUCAGUCUUCAGCUCCCCCGGCCCCAGGCACUCCUCAGUCUUCAACUCCCCAGGCCCCAGGCUCCUCAGUCUUCAGCUCCCCAGGCCCCAGGCUCCUCAGUCUUCAGCUCCCCAGGCCCCAGGCACUCCUCAGUCUUCAGCUCCCCAGGCUCCUCAGUCUUCAGCUCCCCAGGCCCCAGGCUCCUCAGUCUUCAGCUCCCCAGGCCCCAGGCUCCUCAGUCUUCAGCUCCCCAGGCUCCUCAGUCUUCAGCUCCCCAGGCUCCUCAGUCUUCAGCUCCCCAGCCCCAGGCUCCUCAGUCUUCAUCUCCCCAGGCCCCAGGCUCCUCAGUCUUCAGCUCCCCAGGCCCCAGGCACUUCAACAUGAACACAUUGUCCGUACACUACCAUCAAG
ensembl:lncRNA